rnacentral:rRNA from 1 species
UACGGAGGGUGCGAGCGUUGUCCGGAAUUAUUGGGCGUAAAGAGCUCGUAGGCGGUUUGUCGCGUCGGCCGUGAAAACUUGGGGCUUAACCCCGAGCCUGCGGUCGAUACGGGCAGACUUGAGUUCGGCAGGGGAGACUGGAAUUCCUGGUGUAGCGGUGAAAUGCGCAGAUAUCAGGAGGAACACCGGUGGCGAAGGCGGGUCUCUGGGCCGAUACUGACGCUGAGGAGCGAAAGCGUGGGGAGCGAACAGG